GCGAGGGGGCGCGGCGCGCACAAAGGCCCGCAGCGCCUCAUUAGAGACGCGUUUGAUGGGCUCCCGGCCCCCACGGGGGCCCCGGGCGAUGUCAAUGGGAUAAUUACGAUGAUCUAAUGGCCGGCUCUUUUGCAUGCAGGCCCGCCUGAAUGGGCGCCUGGAGGCUGCAUUGAGCCGGGCUGUGUAAACUGUAGGGUGCCUCGCCGACUUGGAGCCGCGGAGACUGGCGGCGGGUCAACUUGGACCACUUUGCAUUCACGCUCUCAAUAGGCCGAGCGGGAGGCGCGCUUUUCCGCGGCCGCCUUUCAGCGGAGAGUGACAGAUUGCAGCCAACCAUCAGCAAGGAUUUCAUCUCUGAUGCCUUCCCUGGAGUCAGAACCCUUUCACAGUUGAGCCCAGCACCAGAUUACCUGGAGGUCCCGAAGCCAGACUUGGACACAACACUCGGCACGGCAAAUGACAGCAAAUGACGUUGCGUAACUGAUGAGAUGGAAUUGCCAAGUGUAAUAAAACUCAGCCCCUGAUUUGGA